rnacentral:rRNA from 1 species
ACACCGGUGGCGAAAGCGGCUCUCUGGUCUGUCACUGACGCUGAGGCUCGAAAGCGUGGGUAGCGAACAGGAUUAGAUACCCUGGUAGUNCACGCCGUAAACGCUGAGUGCUAGGUGUUAGGUCCUUUCCGGGACUUAGUGCCGACGCUAACGCAUUAAGCACUCCGCCUGGGGAGUACGACCGCAAGGUUGAAACUCAAAGGAAUUGACGGGGGCCCGCACAAGCGGUGGAGCAUGUGGUUUAAUUCGAAGCAACGCGAAGAACCUUACCAGGUCUUGACAUCCCGAUGCCCGCUCUAGAGAUAGAGUUUUACUUUUUGUACAUCGGAGACAGGUGGUGCAUGGUUGUCGUCAGCUCGUGUCGUGAGAUGUUGGGUUAAGUCCCGCAACGAGCGCAACCCUUAUUGUUAGUUGCCAUCAUUAAGUUGGGCACUCUAGCGAGACUGCCGGUAAUAAGCCGGAGGAAGGUGGGGAUGACGUCAAAUCAUCAUGCCCCUUAUGACCUGGGCUACACACGUGCUACAAUGGUUGGUACAACGAGUCGCAAGCCGGUGACGGCAAGCUAAUCUCUGAAAGCCAAUCUCAGUUCGGAUUGUAGGCUGCAACUCGCCUACAUGAAGUCGGAAUCGCUAGUAAUCGCGGAUCAGCACGCCGCGGUGAAUACGUUCCCGGGCCUUGUACACACCGCCCGUCGCACCACGAGAGUUUGUAACACCCAAAGUCGGUGAGGUAACCACUUANGGGGCCA